rnacentral:rRNA from 1 species
GCUCGUAGUUGGAUCUAGGGUGCUGGUCGGUGGUCCGCCGCAAGGUGUGUACUGUCGGCCGGUCUCUUUUUUCUGGUUUUCCGGCGGUUCUCUUAACUGAGUGUCGUCGGUGGCCAGUGCGUUUACUUUGAAAAAAUUAGAGUGUUUAAAGCAGGCUGUUUGCCUGAAUAUCGGUGCAUGGAAUAAUGGAAUAGGACCUCGAGUCUAUUUUGUUGGUUUUCGGAAGCGAGGUAAUGAUUAAGAGGGACAGACGGGGGCAUCCGUACUCUGCCGUUAGAGGUGAAAUUCUUGGAUCGGCGGAAGACGAACUAUUGCGAAAGCAUUUGCCAAGAAUGUUUUCUUUAAUCAAGAGCGAAAGUCAGAGGUUCGAAGACGAUCAGAUACCGUCCUAGUUCUGACCAUAAACGAUGCCAACUAGCGAUCCGCCGGCGUUACCAUGACGACUCGGCGGGUAGCUCCCGGGAAACCAAAGUCUUUGGGUUCCGGGGGAAGUAUGGUUGCAAAGCUGAAACUUAAAGGAAUUGACGGAAGGGCACCACCAGGAGUGGAGCCUGCGGCUUAAUUUGACUCAACACGGGGAAACUCACCCGGCCCGGACACAGGUAGGAUUGACAGAUUGAGAGCUCUUUCUUGAUUCUGUGGGUGGUGGUGCAUGGCCGUUCUUAGUUGGUGGAGCGAUUUGUCUGGUUAAUUCCGAUAACGAACGAGACUCUAAUAUGCUAAAUAGUUACGCGACCUUAUCGGUCGGCGUUUUGAAACUUCUUAGAUAGACUAGUGGCGUUUAGCCACACGAAAGUGAGCAAUAACAGGUCUGUGAUGCCCUUAGAUGUCCGGGGCUGCACGCGCGCUACAAUGAACAAGACAGCGUGUCGUUAACCUUGGCCGAAAGGUCUGGGAAACCCCGUAAAUUUGUUCGUGCUUGGGAUAGAGAUCUGGAAUUUCUCUGAACGAGGAAUCGC